UACAGAGGUGGCAAGCGUUGUUCGGAAUUACUGGGCGUAAAGGGCGCGUAGGCGGCCUUCUAAGUCAGACGUGAAAUCCCCCGGCUUAACCUGGGAACUGCGUCUGAUACUGGAGGGCUUGAGUAUGGGAGAGGGAUGUAGAAUUCCAGGUGUAGCGGUGAAAUGCGUAGAUAUCUGGAGGAAUACCGGUGGCGAAGGCGGACUCCUGGACCAUACUGACGCUGAGGAGCGAAAGCCAGGGGAGCAAAGCGGG
rnacentral:rRNA from 1 species